GAUGAACGCUAGCUACAGGCUUAACACAUGCAAGUCGCGGGGCAGCAUGGGGGUUGCUUGCAAUCCCCGAUGGCGACCGGCGCACGGGUGAGUAACGCGUAUCCAACCUGCCCUUCACCACGGGAUAACCCGGCGAAAGUCGGACUAAUACCGUAUGUUGUCCAUUGACGGCAUCCGAUUUGGACGAAAGGCUUGGCGGUGAGGGAUGGGGAUGCGUCCGAUUAGCCAGACGGCGGGGUAACGGCCCACCGUGGCUACGAUCGGUAGGGGUUCUGAGAGGAAGGUCCCCCACACUGGAACUGAGACACGGUCCAGACUCCUACGGGAGGCAGCAGUGAGGAAUAUUGGUCAAUGGGCGUAAGCCUGAACCAGCCAAGUAGCGUGCAGGAUGACGGCCCUAUGGGUUGUAAACUGCUUUUAUGCGGGGAUGAAGUGGCCCACGUGUGGGCUUUUGCAGGUACCGCAUGAAUAAGGACCGGCUAAUUCCGUG
rnacentral:rRNA from 1 species